rnacentral:rRNA from 1 species
CACGGGGGGAGCAAGCGUUGUUCGGAAUCACUGGGCGUAAAGGGCGGUGUAGGCGGUCGAGGUAAGUGAGAUGUGAAAUGCCCCGGCUACACCCGGGGCACCGGCCGAUCUCAUACUGCUUGGCUUGAGUACGGGAGAGGAUGUGGGAAUUCCUGGUGUAGCGGUGAAAUGCGUAGAUAUCAGGAGGAACACCGGUGGCGAAGGCGCACAUCUGGCCCGAUACUGACGCUGAGGCGCGAAAGCUAGGGGAGCAAACGGG